UACGUAGGAGACGAGCGUUGUCCGGAAUUACUGGGCGUAAAGCGCGUGUAGGCGGACAGGCAAGUCUGCUGUGAAAGCUCCUGGCUUAACCGGGAGUGGUCGGUGGAAACUGCCCGUCUGGAGGACGGUAGAGGUAGGUAGAAUUCCCGGUGUAGUGGUGAAAUGCGUAGAGAUCGGGAGGAAUACCUGUGGCGAAGGCGGCCUACUGGGCCGGACCUGACGCUGAGACGCGAAGGCGUGGGGAGCGAACGGG
rnacentral:rRNA from 1 species